rnacentral:rRNA from 1 species
CGUGUAGGCGGCCGAUUAAGUCCGGAGUGAAAGUCCUGCUUUCAAGGUGGGAAUUGCUUUGGAAACUGGUUGGCUUGAGUGCGGAAGAGGUAAGUGGAAUUCCCAGUGUAGCGGUGAAAUGCGUAGAGAUUGGGAGGAACACCAGUGGCGAAGGCGACUUACUGGGCCGUAACUGACGCUGAGGCGCGAAAGCGUGGGGAGCGAACA